UGUAAUCAAACUCCAUGACGGGCCCUGCAAGAGGAAGGGGAUUCUUUACUCUUUUGGAGGACUAAAGCAACAGGCUCACGUGUUGGAACACUUGAUCCGAGGGGAGUGGCACUGUCUGGCGAGGCUAUAGAACCAUUAGGAGGCAGAGUCUACAUGGAGAAAGUAGAACCCUAGGGUGCAGGCCAUGAGGGUCACGGCCCCGCAGCACCUCUGGAAGAGCUCUCGCUGCCUCCUGGCUGGCAGCUGCCACACACUCAAUGACAAACCCACUGCCAGGCCUUCCCCAGCAUGGUGGACUGGCACCGUCUGAACUGUCGCCAGGAGAACUUUCCUCACUUGGUUGCUCCUGUCAGGCACGAGUCACUGCAAUGAAAAACCUAACUGAGACAGUUUCCACAGCCAGAAAAUCACAGGGACACAUCCCUUUUGCAUCCCAUGACAAAGGUCAUGUGCUCCCUCCUAACACAGGGCUAUUCCCACAGUACACGGUGAGGUGGCCUUGCUUCUCUUUCUUUCUCCCCUCCUGCCCCGUCUCCCCAUCAGUCUCCCCUGAGGCUUUGCAGGACAAGGCAGCCGUCAGUGUAGCUGGGAAGCCUCUGCAAACCCCUUGGAGGCCCACACGGUCUAUGGAACGGCAUUCCACAAGUGUCCAGAGGUAAACACACACAGGCACACCGCUAUCACACGGGACUGACACUCCCUUCUCUGGAACUGCCACUCACAGUCUCGAACUCUACUCCCCAAAGGAAACCCCCACUCUGUGUGCUCUCCAGACUGAGAGGACACUCGCAUGCUGCUGGAUGGACUCCUCAGUUAAGUCAGCCAGUUUUGACAACUGUCUCUCGUGUGUCAAGUUCAAGACUCGGGCCACUCUGUCUUGGACACGACAUGCCUGCCUCUAUGCCCUCUUGACAUGUGACGUCUAAUAUGAACAUACAUGUUCCGUCCCUUUAGGCCUCAGCAUGUAGACAUGCCAGUGGUGCUGUUGCUAAACAUGCUGGGCACACUUCUUACCCCACAGCUAAAGGCUACACUGCGUUUCUCCAGCUCCGGCACUUCCAGAUCUCAGACAAACCUUCAUCUUCCCCACAGUGUGAGCACAUCAGCCGAGAGAACAUGGAUGCAUGAGUCAUGUACCCUGGCAUGUUAACCUCAUGUAGCAGAUUCACAGCCCUCCUUCUAUUCCAGCCCUAAAUAAAACCAUGUUUUAAGUUUU
rnacentral:sRNA from 1 species